AGUGAACGCUGGCGGUAGGCCUAACACAUGCAAGUCGAACGGCAGCACAGUAAGAGCUUGCUCUUACGGGUGGCGAGUGGCGGACGGGUGAGGAAUACAUCGGAAUCUACUUUUUCGUGGGGGAUAACGUAGGGAGACUUACGCUAAUACCGCAUACGACCUACGGGUGAAAGCAGGGGAUCUUCGGACCUUGCGCGAUUGUAUGAGCCGAUGUCGGAUUAGCUAGUUGGCGGGGUAAAGGCCCACCAAGGCGACGAUCCGUAGCUGGUCUGAGAGGAUGAUCAGCCACACUGGAACUGAGACACGGUCCAGACUCCUACGGGAGGCAGCAGUGGGGAAUAUUGGACAAUGGGCGCAAGCCUGAUCCAGCCAUACCGCGUGGGUGAAGAAGGCCUUCGGGUUGUAAAGCCCUUUUGUUGGGAAAGAAAAGCAGCAGGUUAAUACCCCGCUGUUCUGACGGUACCCAAAGAAUAAGCACCGGCUAACUUCGUG
rnacentral:rRNA from 1 species